ACUUGAAAAAGCUAUAAUUAGCAAAUAUUUAAAAAGUACUAUUAAUACUUGGGAGGCUACAAGCUGGUGUAUUUUUAUUAGGGGAUAGUUUGGCACCAUGUAUUAAAAGCCUUAAAAAUGUUCAAACUCUUUAAUAUAUAGUGAUUCCAUGUCUGUAUUUUUUCCCUAGGAUUCCCACAAGAUUAAUGUAUAAACAUUCAUCAUCAUAUGGUUUAUAAUAGGAAAAAAUUUUGAAACUACCUAAAUGUUCAAUAAAGGAA